rnacentral:rRNA from 1 species
ACAAGCGGUGGAUGAUGUGGUUAAUUCGAUGCAACGCGAAAACUUACCACCUUUGACAUGUACGGAACCCUUUAGAGAUAGAGGGUGCUCGAAAGAGAGCCGUAACACAGGUGCUGCAUGGCUGUCGUCAGCUCGUGUCGUGAGAUGUUGGGUUAAGUCCCGCAACGAGCGCAACCCUUGUCAUUAGUUGCUACAUUCAGUUGGGCACUCUAAUGAGACUGCCGGUGACAAGCCGGAGGAAGUGGGGAUGACGUCAAGUCCUCAUGGCCCUUAUAGGUGGGGCUACACACGUCAUACAAUGGUCGGUACAGAGGGUUGCCAACCCGCGAGGGGGAGCUAAUCCCACAAAGCCGAUCGUAGUCCGGAUCGCAGUCUGCAACUCGACUGCGUGAAGUCGGAAUCGCUAGUAAUCGCGGAUCAGCAUGUCACGGUGAAUACGUUCCCGGGUCUU